GUUGACUGCCACGGAGGAGACAUCUCUGGUUAGAGUUUCCUUUCUUGUAGAGUUUUCCUUGUGAGCCUGGAUCUUCGGAAUCUGUUGUAAGAAGCUACUGCUGCAAAGAAGCCAUACUGGAGCAUGAGUUUCUUAAAUCUGAUCAUCUGCUCAGACCUGCGUAGAGAACCUGGACCAUUUUCGUGGCCUCCUCUGGACAUGCUCCACCACGUCCAUUUCUCUCCUGUACCGUUCCUGUACUGUUCAUCUCUCUGCGCUGCUGUUUGAAUUCUGUUGCUUUGGGGGAAAAAAAUCUUAUCUAUAAUUAAAAUGAAGCUUGAAAAAAUGAAAUCCAAAUGGCUUGUGGUGGAAAAUUUUUCAGAAUCUGAACACUUCCAAAUAAUAGAGAAUAUAUAUAUAGGUAGACUCAAGUAUUGUACAUCUUAUAAAUGCACUGUAAUAUAUUUACUCAAUUUGUUGUAGUUCUAGUACUUUAAAUAUUGCUGCUGCUGCUGCCUCUUCAUCUGUAUCAUCAAAAAAAGGUUGAAUACAGGUUAAAAGGAAACUAUUUGUCACUGCAUUAAAUAAACUGAGGUCUGUGAACUCAAAGUCCAAAAUGUUGCUGUAUUUUUUACAACAAGAAGGAUGAUGUUAAUAACUCUAAUCAUUCUACCAAAAUCUGCACAGUGCAAGCCUAUAAAAAACAGCUGAAAUAGUGAAAACAUAAAUUUAUACUUGAAUGUGGGACCAUUUGUUUUCCAGUUCUAAGUCAGAAGAUACAGAUUUGCAGGCUUACUUGAUCAAAUC